rnacentral:lncRNA from 1 species
UGGCGAAAUUGUGGACAUCACAGGAGCAACCACAGCCAUCACAGCAGCAGCCAUCAGUGCAGCCACCAUCACAGCCACCACCACAGCCAUCAACAUUGCCACAGGCACAGGUGUGGCCAGGGCCACAGCCACCACAACCACAGCCACCACCUCAGCCAACACAACCAAGUGCUCAAGCCCGUUGUACUCAGCACACCUCCAAAUGCAAUCUCCAGGAUUCCCAAAGGCCAGGUCACCAGCCUACUUCAGCGGGGAUCUACUAAGCUGGAGGGCAAUCUCUGUAUCAACAACAGAUUCCAGGUACCCUCGGCCUUUAAUGCCUUGCUGGUCAACUCCCCCUGGGUGGGUUAAUGCCAACCUACGGCUGCAAAGGAGCCUUCCAACUUCUGCAGAGAGUGGUUGAGAAGCUGUCGGCCCUUCUUCCAGAGUCUCAUGAACCCAUGCCAAUCUAGCCCCAUCAGAAACACUGGGUAUUCACAACUCAAGUCUACCAAUUACAUACAGCAGUGGUGAUCCAGAGAUUGAACCCAGGACCCCAUGGCCAUCCCCAAAAUGCAGAUGAGCAACCACAUCUUCUCAGCAUCCAGCAAUAUCUCCACUCCAAAAGCCACCCACUCUAGAAGAGGAGGCUGCCAGGAAUAAAAUGUAAUUUUUU